GAUGAACGCUGGCGGCGUGCUUAACACAUGCAAGUCGAACGGAAAGGCCAGUGCUUGCACUGGUACUCGAGUGGCGAACGGGUGAGUAACACGUGGGUGAUCUGCCCUGUACUUCGGGAUAAGCUUGGGAAACUGGGUCUAAUACCGGAUAGGACAACUUUUUGGAUAUUGUUGUGGAAAGCUUUUGCGGUAUGGGAUGAGCUCGCGGCCUAUCAGCUUGUUGGUGGGGUAAUGGCCUACCAAGGCGUCGACGGGUAGCCGGCCUGAGAGGGUGUACGGCCACAUUGGGCCUGAGAUACGGCCCAGACUCCUACGGGAGGCAGCAGUGGGGAAUAUUGCACAAUGGGCGCAAGCCUGAUGCAGCGACGCCGCGUGGGGGAUGAAGGCCUUCGGGUUGUAAACUCCUUUCGCUAGGGACGAAGCGUAAGUGACGGUACCUGGAGAAGAAGCACCGGCUAACUACGUG
rnacentral:rRNA from 1 species